CCGUAGCUCAGUUGGAUAGAGCACCUGGCUACGAACCAGGGGGGCGCGGGUUCGAAUCCUACCGGGC
rnacentral:tRNA from 1 species